rnacentral:rRNA from 1 species
GGCAACCCUGACGGAGCAAUACCGCGUGCGGGAGGACGGCCUGUGGGUUGUAAACCCCUUUUCUUUGGGAAGAACAAAAUGACGGUACCAAAGGAAUCAGCCUCGGCUAACUCCGUGCCAGCAGCCGCGGUAAUACGGAGGAGGCAAGCGUUAUCCGGAAUGAUUGGGCGUAAAGCGUCCGCAGGUGGCAAUGUAAGUCUGCUGUCAAAACCCAGGGCUCAACUCUGGUCAGGCAGUGGAAACUACAUAGCUAGAGUUCGGUAGGGGCAAAGGGAAUUCCCGGUGUAGCGGUGAAAUGCGUAGAGAUCGGGAAGAACAUCGGUGGCGAAAGCGCUUUGCUAGACCGAAACUGACACUCAGGGACGAAAGCUAGGGGAGCG